rnacentral:lncRNA from 1 species
UAGAUUUAAUUGUGCUCUGUAAAUAGAUAUAUUACCAGAAACACAGUGGAUGUCCUGUUGAGAUUUCUUUUUAAAACAUGAUAUUACUGCACAUUGUUGGGGAUAAAUAAGGCACUUGAACUUGUAUCCUGGCUGACGUGAUCCACUAGAAUAACAUAUUCCUUUAGAAGAUGCUACUCUUUAGAAAUCACAGUUGCUAGCCUGAAGUUACCCUAAUUGUUAAAAGGUAGUACUGUAUCCAAAGAGAGAGACAAAGCAAUUACUGUCCUUCUGUUAACAACCCAAGCAUAUUUUCCAGUGAGACCCUUGAAAACUGUUCCGUGUUCAAAAAAUUACCACUUUACCCACAAACUUUCUGAGAACUGAAAAUAGUUUAUUUGCACCAAAUUCCCUUGAUUUAAGGCUUAUUAACUUGAAAAGAGCUCAGUGACAUCUGGAAUUGUAUAAUAGUCUUGCCACAGCACUGGCAUACGGAGUUGCAUUUUAACGAAGAAGAUCAGGAAUAAACCCAUGUAUUUGUUUCAAAUAAUAAAGUUUACUGUAGUUGGUGGGCA